rnacentral:rRNA from 1 species
UACGUAGGUGGCAAGCGUUGUCCGGAUUUACUGGGCGUAAAGAGCGCGCAGGCGGUCGUACAAGUCGCGUGUGAAAGCCCCCGGCUCAACUGGGGAGGGUCACGCGAUACUGUUCGACUCGAAGGCAGGAGAGGGAAGCAGAAUUCCCGGUGUAGUGGUGAAAUGCGUAGAUAUCGGGAGGAAUACCAGUGGCGAAGGCGGCUUCCUGGCCCAUCACUGACGCUGAGACACGAAAGCGUGGGUAGCAAACAGG